rnacentral:rRNA from 1 species
CAGUCGCCGCGGGAAUACGAAGGGGGCUAGCGUUGUUCGGAUUUACUGGGCGUAAAGCGCACGUAGGCGGAUCCUUAAGUCAGAGGUGAAAUCCCAAGGCUCGACCUUGGAACUGCCUUUGAUACUGGGGAUCUCGAGUUCGGGAGAGGUGAGUGGAACUGCGAGUGUAGAGGUGAAAUUCGUAGAUAUUCGCAAGAACACCAGUGGCGAAGGCGGCGACCUGGUCCUUGACUGACGCUGAGGCGCGAAAGCGUGGGGAGCAAACAGGAUUAGAUACCCCGGUAGUCCCUGUCUCUUAAAA